CGAAGCUGCGGCCCAGGCGGGGCAGGAGAUGUGAAGAUGCCAGGUCCCCGGGGAGGGCAAAGGGCGUGCGGGCCGUAAGGGACAGCAGAGCGGUCGGGGCCGCCCACCCGGCGGACGCCGGAGGCGAGAGGCCCCACCCCGGCUCCUCUCCACACCCCGCGCGGCCUUGGGGAGUCAGCCCGGGACUCGCUCCCGGCAGGUGUCCUACCCUCCCCCGGUCCCGGUUGGCGCGGCGGCCGGCACGGCGGGCGCGGAGGGGGCCGCGCUGGUGUCACCAGGAGUGAACAGCCCAGCUAUUCAGGGAGGGGGCGCCCCCCGCUGCCCUCCGCGACCCGCGCUGACGUCGCCGCGCAGCCCGUUACGUAACCCCCCUCCCCGCCUUUCCUCGCGGGCCCGGCCUCCUCCUCCAGCGCCGCCUCGCCUGCCGCAGCGCCUCCGCGUUCCGCUUUGCGCCCAAAGGGAAACUGAGGCCCUUCUCCAGCAGAGCACGGCGGGUAGUGCCCGCGGGAGUGGCUGUGACCGUCCUCGUUAGGAUUCUUGGGUCCCUAGGGGAGCCCAGACUGCGAAGGGAGCCCCAGCUCCGCCUGGGGGACUCGGCUUCCUCCUGUCUACCGCGUUCUUCCUUCCUGGCCUGGACUCUGGGGGCUCUGGAGUCUUCUGUGGCCGCUCCACCCACAUUUGUGCCUGGGCCACCAUGUGCCUUAAAUUAUAAAGUCGGGCAGUGACGCUCAGUAGGGGUUGGUUUCUCCACCUUCCUCUGGGUGACCUUAGGCAGAUUUUGCCUCUCCGAACCUCAGUGUCCCCACCUGUCUAAAAUGGCCCCUUCCUUCUAGUGUGGUGGGGAAGAACAGCAGCAUGUCGACACCCGCUACAGAUAAGGCAACCACGGGGCAAGAAACUUACUGCGUAUUGAAGAGAAAAUCCCAGCUUCCUAUCCAGGCUUCAGGCAGGGCCCAUGCUAUGGCCUGGAGCCCCCUUUGACCUCAUCUGCUCCACUUGCCUCUUGCUUGCUGCUGGUCUUUUCUUCCCUGAACCCACCGUCCUGUUCCUGCCUCUCGCCCUUGGAAGUGUCUGGUCCUGCUGCUCUUCUCCCUGUUAAGCAUGUGACAAGGAAUCGUAUGCUUCAGGUCACAGGUUGAAAGCCCCCUUCUCGGGAAGACCUGCCUUGUCUUGUCCACCCAAUAUAAGUGUCUACUUGGUCACUAGCCACUGUCACUGGUCGUGAUUAUCUUACCAUCUGCCAUUUUCUCAUUUAUUUGUUUGUUUUCAGUUAAUAGAACAUUGCUUCAGGAGAGCAAGGAAUUUGUCUGCAGUUGCCCCUUAUUUCCUCAUGCCUAGCACAGUGUCCAGUGUUUAUGGGGGCCCCAUAUUGAAUGUGGAAUUUUGUUUUUUUUUUGAGACAGGGUUUCACUCUGUUGCCCAGGCUGGAGUGCAGUGGCAUGACCACAUCUCACUUCUUCCUUGACCUCUUGGGCUCAAGUGAUCCUCCCACCUCAGCCUCCUGAGUAGCUGGGACUGCAGGCAUAUGCCACCAUGGCUGGCUAAUUUUUUUAUUUUUUGUAGAGACAUGGGAGUCUCACCAUGUUCCCCAGGAUGGUCUCGAACUCCUGGGCUCAAGCAAUCUUUCUGCCUUUGCCUCUCAAAGUUCUAGGAUUACAAGCAUGAGCCAUUGCCUCAGCUGAAUAUUGAAUGUUUAAUAUAAUGAAUCAGGCCGGGCGCGGUGGCUCAUGACUGUAAUCUCAAUACUUUGGGAGACUGAGGCAGGCGGAUCAUUUGUGGUCAGGAGUUCUAGACUGGCCUGGCCAAUAUGGUGAAAAUCCUUCUCUACUGAAAAUAUAAAAAUUAGCCGGACAUGGUGGCAUGCACCUAUAAUCCCAGCUACUCGGGAGGCGGAGGCAGGAGAAUCGCUUGAACCUGGGAGGCAGAGGUUGCAGUGAGCCAAGAUCACACCACUGCACUCUAGCCUGGGUGACAGAGCGAGACUCCAUCUCAUAUAAAAAUAAAAAUAGUAUAGUGAAUCAGGCUGGGUGAGGUGGCUUAUACCUGUAAUCCCAGCACUUUAGGAGGCAUGAGGAUCACUUGAGCCCAGGAAUUUGAGACGAGCCUGGGCAACAUAGUAAGACCCUGACUCUACAAAAAAUUAAAAGUAAAAAAUUAACUGGGUGUCAUGGCUUGAACCUGUAAUCCUAGCUACUCGGGAGACUGAGGCAGGAGGAUUGCUUGAGCCUGGGAGGUCACAACUGCAGUGAGCCAUGAUCAUGUCACUGCACUCCAGCCUGAGUGACAGAGGAAGGAAGAACCUGUCUCAAAAAAUAAUAAUAAUAAUAAUAAUAUAGUGAAUCAGGGCAGAGCUAGAAAAACAACCCAGGUGUCUGGGCCUCUGGGCCAAGACUCUUCUCCUGUCUGGACUUCCCAGCCCUGCCACAGCGCGGCAAUAGUUUGACUAGGUUUUUGUGUCUUGGGUUGGGGGGGUCCCACCUGAUGGCAUAUGGUUCUGCCCAGGGCUCAACCUAUCAUUAUUUCCUCACAUCUUUGGGAAAAGUGCCACCAUACAGGGUCCUCCUAGGGCCCUCCACAGGGCUCAGGAGCCAGUGGGGCAAGAAGAGGUGCAGGCACAGGGACCAUCUUGAAUGGCCUAGCUGGACAGGGGCCUAGCCUGACUGUCCCCUGUUGUACAAAUGGGACAGAUGUCAAGAGGGGUUCAAAGUUACACAGUGAAUUGGCAGCUUCAAGGACCUAGAACCUACUUCUCUCUGAUAGUGAAAUUCCCCAAAUUAAAAAUUCAGAGAAUUGGCCGGGCGCGGUAUCUCACACUUGUAAUCCCAGCUCUUUGGGAGGCUGAGGUGGGCGGAUCACCUGAGGUCAGGAGUUUGAGACCAGCCUGGCCAACAUGGCGAAACUCUGUCUCUACUAAAAGUACAAAAAUUGGCCAGGCAUGGUGGCUCAUGCUUGUAACCCCAGC
rnacentral:lncRNA from 10 species